CAUUUCAUCACACAAAAUAGAAAGAAACCGACGGAUAGUAGCAUGAAAAUCCAAAAAUCAACACCGGAUUUUGAUCAACGAAAUGAAAUCGAGGGAGAAAAUUAGAUAUACCAGAUGGGACACGUGAGCUCCAACUCCAUCUUCUGCAGAUUAAGUACCAAAGGGUUUAGCAAUCUCCUGAAACCCUCUAGAUUCGCCAUACUCUCUCUCG
rnacentral:lncRNA from 1 species